rnacentral:rRNA from 1 species
AGCGGCGAACGGGUGAGGAACACGUGAAGAAUCUGCCCUCCACUUUGGGAUAACACCGGGAAACCGGUGCUAAUACCGAAUAUUGAAACAUAAGUGGCAUCACUGAGUUUUGAAAGAAUUUCGGUGGAGGAUGACUUCGCGGCCUAUCAGCUAGUUGGUGAGGUAAUGGCUCACCAAGGCGACGACGGGUAGCCGGCCUGAGAGAACGACCAGCCACACUGGAACUGAGACACGGCCCAGACUCC